rnacentral:lncRNA from 1 species
UUUUUUGUUUUUGGUACUUCUAUAACCAGCAGCUACCAAUAAAUUUAUCUUUCAUUGCAAUUAUUUGUAGAGCUAAGAUUUUUAUGUACAUAGGUCUAGUUGACUAUUAGCAAUUAUUUUAAAAUAAUCUUUUCAAUUCAGUCCUUCAUUGUAAAGGACAAACAUGAAAGCAUGGACACAUAUGGAAAAACCCCAAUAUUUAUAGUAAAAAUAUUUGCAGACCCAGACUGCUCUGAGUGGAAUUCAUGGUCAAUAAUUUUUCUCAAUGACACAGAGCAGCUGAAGUUCUGAACUCCCUUUCACAGUAUUGGUUUGGGGGUUGAAUGAUCAGGUGCAGGGACCACACUCAGCCUUGAGAUUUACCCUGCAACUCCCAUCCUCCAGCCGCAUACACCAGCAUCUCCCACUGUGCUUGGAAGAGAUACCAUAAAUAUCAGGAGGAUAACUCAGUUUCUCAGUGACCAGAGUAAUGGAACUCUGCAGACCUGCCUAAUUAUGUGAUUUGAUUCACAUAGUCCAUGAGCUGUGUGUGCCGAGGGAAAAACUACAGUGCUUCUGAGACAGCCAGUGGUUAAUCCAGGCAGGAUUGUCUGGCUGUCCCAACAGCACCUCCUCAGCCCUGCAUUGUUCAGCCUGUCCUGGAUUUACAGUGACUCAAAGUGGCUUCUGGGAUGCUGAAAAAGCAAAUGGAGAAAGGUCCAUUUUCCAAGCCUGGAAAAUCCUCAAAUCUGCAAGGUCAUCUGCAUGGGGAAAGCAUGGAAAAGUGAGACAUGAAACACCUGCAUGGACACUGACUGGCCACACACCUUCCAAAUCCACAGAAAGCUCCCUGCACUGUCCCACACCUUCAUUGUCCAAAUCCAUACAAAACUCCCUGCACCAAAAUUCUGAUCAGGCUGUCUGAUUCCUGGUCUUGGAAAGCCAUAGAUAGGAACAAGACCACACAAUUAUUUUCAGGCACCACCACGAGCUCUCUUCUGGCAGCUGGACACCCUGACUGGCCCAGUUCUGGCUCUCUCCUGAAAGGUGCUCUAACCUGUCCAGUUCUGGCUCUCUUCUGAGAGGUGCUCUAACCUGUCCAGUUCUGGCUCUCUUCUGAGAACUGGACACCCAGCUGGUCAGACUGGAAGGCAGGAUGGUUCCCAGCCUCCCAGUCAUCGCCUGGACAGCUUUCCCAAAACCUGCUCUGGUCAUUGGGAUUCCCAGUGACUCCCUCUCCCAAGGGCAAGUAACCAGGUGGGUUUACACCAAAACACUGGCUGCUUUAGCCAUGAGUCUCUCAGAAAUUACAUAUUUUCCUGGAUUCUUUUGGGUGUGGGGAGCUCAUCAUGUCUCCCUUCUCCAUUAUGAAUUUCUUUGGUUGGGAUCAUCCUGGAUGCCUUCCUUCUUUCUUUAACUACUGUAUUCAAAAUUUUUCUAGGUUUUCUUCCAAAUCUGAAAGUGAACACGCCACUUCUGGAGAUCUAGAUAAAAGGAUUUGUUUCCACAACUGCCUUGUGCUGAAUGAAAACCAAAAUCAGAGAAGAGGCAGCUGCAUGCCCUGCGAUAGGAAAUCUGUAUUGAACAGCUCUGCAGAAUCCAAAAAGCAUCUGGGAACAGCCCAACUUGUAUUUCUGAUGGAUAAGGAAGAAGAGAAAACAGGAUGUGGUUUCUUUUCAAAUCCUCUCAGAAGAUACAAACUUAUUAAAACAUAACCCAGAACUCUGACACUAAGGAAAACAUGCAAAAGCCCCAGGAAAUCUGAAGAAAACCCCAAAGAAACAAACCGACAAAAGAUUAACUUUUUUUCUUAAUGAAACAAUUAAUUAGCAAGUUGUAACAUUCCUGCCAUAUCUGACUAUGCCUGACUCACAGACACUGAAAUUUAUGGAGCAUUAAGAUCUGCCUGCCCUCAGAAAAGUGAAAGAGAGAGAUUUGCUUCAAUGUUCAUCAUCUGUUUGAAUAAAAAACACGUAUAUGGAAUAACCCUAAGUGCCAGCAGGUGCUAAAAUGCUCCUUAAUAUGACCUCAAAUCUGUCAUGGGAAAGCAGCAAACCAGUGUGAACUAUAACCUCCUUUAUUUACCUGUCACCUUUCCUUCUGUAACUCAGGGCAGCAUUAAGCUUCUCACCUGUAUUUAUUUAACAAGCUGGAUGGAUACAAAUCUGACCAAGAAUUCAUGUAACCCAGGCCAAAAAAUAUUUGUACUGAUAGAUGAUUUCAUGUUUUAUACCAACAAGCAUAACUUCAAUCCAGUACAGCUAAAACCCUGGCAAAAGCCAACAUCAAAGCCCAAUUUUGCAUGUUCAGUGCUGUAUCUCUACUUUCCUCUUCCUGGGACUUUACAGUGCUCUGGAAAUGAGUAAUUAUAAAAUUAUGUACAAAUUAUUUAAAGUCUCAUUCAACUUCAAAGUGAUAAUAAAAAACCAGCAGGGAGGAAAAUUACAGGUCAACUCCUUCUAGAAUUUUUUUAUCACACGUAACAGUUUUAGGAUUGUCUUGUUGCAAAAUAGAAGUUUGGGGGGUUUUUCUUAAUGAAACCAUCUUUUUCUACCAUAGUGCUGACAUCAUCUGUUUCCUGAGAGUGAUUUUGCCAAUUAAACUGAGGGGUAAAAUGGUGGGGGAUAGAGGAGAAAGAAAGAUGCUGAAACAGACACAAGGAAGAUGAGACAUUUCCAAUUAUUUCAUAUAAUUAGAAGAGGAUUUAAAAAAAAAAUCUGCAUUUUCUCUUUAAAUAUUUCCAGCUAGCCUAAUAAUAUCUUCUGAAAAAUCAACUUCCUCUCCCAGAAAAACUGAGGUCAUGCACCAUUUGCUAUUUUAUAUUUCCCUGACAUCCCCAAAAGAAACAAAAGAAACACAAAAGUUCAUGAAAUAUACAGCACACAGAAGGAGGAAGCGAUUUUUCAAUGCUCAUCAAAUUAAGUACCUCAAUAACAUACACAGAAUUGGUAAUUUGGGAGCUGGAAAUGCACUUUAGUGUUUCAAACUGUUAUACUUUAAGUUUCUGUUUUACUUGGGAGAUUCUAACCCCACCCCCUCCCCCCAGCUGAAGGCAGAAGUUAUGGAGGCUGCUUUAUUUGUGGUUUUGGGUUAAUUUUAAAGCGAGUGCUUAAAUGUAAUUAUGGCCCAAAACAAGCCGGUGCAAGAGGAGCUGAUUUGGGUAGAUCCAGAAAUAGAUUUUACUUUUAUUUUCUGUAGCUACCAGGACAGAGGAAUCCAACCCACUCAACCUGACUUUAAAAAGCACACAAAGGAAAAGAAAAAAACAAAAACUUCAAACUGUUGAGGCUGCCUGAAUGUGAUCUAGAGCUGGGCUAUGGAAAAAAGCUGUUUUUCUUGUACAGGUGCAGAAGCUUUGGGGUCUGAGAACAAAGGAAAAACCCUAUAAAAAUACAAUCACUAUAGAAACCCACGCUAUACCAACCUUUAAAAUCAGAUAUACUGAUUUGGUGGUAAUUCAAUGGCUUUGCUUCCCAGCUACCAGAGGAACACAUGGUUUGCAAAGUCACAUGAGACAGUCCCUGCAUCCCUGUCAGAUUGAAAAAGGCCCUUCCCUCACUCCCACAGCCCCACCAAAAGUAUCUGAAACUUCCUAUUUUUCCCCAUAAAAACUCAUUCCAUUUCUAUUUCUAGCCUGUGAUUGCAGACUCCACCUACAGCACACAUCCAGGGACCUACCAGAGGUGUGAUCCACAUGUGGGAAUGCAGAGCCGUGGAAUGGGACUGAGCUGGUGGCAUGAGCUGCAUGUGGGGCUUCCCUACAGCAUCCCACAGGUACAUCAUCCCAGAGUGGUGGAGGGACGCUCUCCACUGGCCACAGCUGGCAUGAUGAAGGGUCAGAGCAGCAGGAAAUCAUUAAUUAGCUGUUAAUUCUAAGUUAUGUGUCUGCACUUGAAACCAUUAAAGACAAAGCACCUUGGGCUAGCUGUGUGCCUCGAGCCUGGCUUCCUGCUGAGAAAGUUAAUUAAAAAUCAGCUUAAGUGGUAGGGAGAAGAGAGAGUUCAUUUAACCCACCACAGAGUCACCCUGAGCCCACAGAAGAGGAAGGGCUUGGGAGUCAGAUGUGGAGCCUGACUCUGGAGUUCCACCCCGCAUGUGAAAUGAGACAAAUCUCUGUGUGUCCCUGUUUCCCAAACGCAUGGGCAAUGCAUUCCCAGCAUCUCCCUAGAUAUUCAACAUGUGCUUUUCCUACUGUCCCUUUCCCCUUUCUUCCUGCAGUUUCAAACAGAUCCAUCCCAAGCCAGCUGCUCCCCUGCAGGUCUCCUGGCCAGAGAGGCAAAAAGCACAGGGCUUCCACCAGUCUGGAAUUAAAAGCACGGAGCUCCUUGCCUGGAGGAGCCCCACAGACAGGGAGAGGGAUUUCUGCAGGGAGAAAGAGGAGAGGUUCAAGCCCUGGUCAAAACAGAUGUUUUUGUUCCAGGGAGCCAAGUUUAGUUAUUCCAGGCUGCCUUAAAUCAAUGAAAGAGCUCUGUAACCACUGGCUGAGAGAGGCUUUGCAGAGACCUCAGAGCAGCUCCCUGGCAGCAGAAGUGGCACCUGGGGAUACCAAACGUGCGGAGGAAAUGCACUCAGCAAAUGCUGUGGGUGUGAGUCAGCUCCCCAAACCUUAUCAGUGCCAAAGUUCAGCAGUUUGGUCAGCCAGGCUCCAUCCCUGCGCUGUAGAUGAGGGAUGGAUGUGCUCCCAGGUGAGUCACCCCACACUGACAGAUGUUCAUGAUGUGUGGUACCAGCCCCGUUUAGACAAGACUCUCUGAUGGCUAAAUAUAAACUAAAUUCAUUCUCUCCAACCAUGAUCUCACCCCAAACCUGUGAAGUCUUGCCCCUCUCAAGGCUGUAGUAGAUGUGCUGAUGUACAGAUGUUGGCAUUCCAGCAUCACUGAAUAGCUUGUUCAAAAUCCAGGGUUAAUUCCAUUUGUGCCACGUGCUGGUUACCAGUGGUUGAUUAAUCAUCCUCAAGAUUUCUGAGGCAAAUACCAAAUUCCCCUUUUCUACACCAGUAUUUAUAAGCUGUGGUUGAUUUCCAGCAAUAUUGGCCAUCUUAAUGAUUCCAAGUUAAGAUCCCUAGGAAGCAUAAAAUCUACUCAAUUCUGCAAUUAUCACAUCUGUUAAAACCACCUUAAUAUACAAGCUGAGCCACACAGGACCCACCAUCGCCUUCCUCUGAUCAAAAAGCUCCUGGAGAAGCAGAUCCUUUUCAAGACCAAAGCUGGUCGAAUAAUUCCCUCUCAAUUCCUGGUCCAAUCAACAGUGAUAAGGGUUCAGCAUUCUCCUCAUUGUCUCAGUAAUCAAAGUAUCCUCUUUUGAAUCCAACCAUAAAUGGUUAAUUUCAGUGAACUGCUCUAAAGCCCAGCACAGGGCUCCGAGGGUCCACAACUGAGCAUCCCCUUCAAAAUGAAAAAGAAGAGGAGCAACUUGGGGUGGGAGGAUGUUUUAUUAUUUCCUAGUCUGUAUUUGAAAAUAAUGUAUUUUCCAAAGGGCUCAAGGUUUGCAUGAGGGAGAAGGGCUGAGUUUCUAAUCUCAUGGACACUUAGAUGUGCAAGUGGAUGAGGAGCUCCAGCUCAGCCAGGCACUCCUCUGGCACCCACUGCUUGAGGGGAUGUGAGGGAUCACUUCAAUUCAUUAUAAAAUUGAGUUUCUUCAGUGCAAUGGAUUUAACAGAGCACCAAGAAGGCACCAGAACUUGUUUUUUGUUUUAGCCACUGCCUGCUUUAGAGGAGCCUCCCAAGAGAUGAAAGAAAGUCUCCAGUGAGAAGUGACAGAGUUCUUUCUUUCAGUUCUUUCGGGACCCAUCGCCAAGUUUCAUGAUUGUGGUAGGAAAUGCAGCUGAGGAGAGUGGGGCCUGUUGAGCACGCUGAGCCUGUCCUGCAUGCUGACACAAAAGGAGGGUGGUUUUCCCCUGUUAAAGGCUGAUUCCCAGCAGCAAGGGGAUGAACUGCAGUGCCACAUGCAGAAAACCAGGAUUAAAGCACUUCUUUCAUGACUUACACCUAUCCCUUCCCUCCUGAGAUGUCCAGCAGGAUUUUUGGAUGUGAGGACACCUGUGUCACUGGGAAGCACCAGCUGAGAGCUGAGCCCAGGCCACGACACCAAGAAAGGCAGAGCCAUGUACGGGAUCCAGGAUGGAUCGUGCUGGGCAUGCCAGGGACAGUGCCGGCAGCUCCUGCCCCUGCCUGGGUGCAGCUGGGGCACGCACACAGUUCCACGUGGAGAGCAAACCCACUGGGGCAAACACACAUUCCACGUGGAGAGCAAACCCACUGCACUUGGUUUUGUCUGUAUUUAGCACAUCAGCCCCCAAAGCACUGCUGACUCAGGUGCUCAGCCUGCUCCAGCUCGAAUCUUCCCGGUGGCCAAGGCUGCGAUUUCACAUCUGAGCACGUACAAAGCUCUGGCUGGUAACUGGGAGAUUGUGUCACUGAACAGACAGUAAAGUCAUGUUCUAAUUUUGCUCUGAAUAAUUAACUAAAUGGGUCAAUUGUAUAAAAUUAAUUGCUACUGCUUGAAUCAUUACAAUCCAUGUCGGGAUCAUCAGUUCAGCUAAGAGCUGUAUUGUAUUUCAGUUUUUCACUGUUUCCCUCUCCAGGGAAAGAAAGGAAAUUAAAGUAUCAUACAAAGAGCCAAAAAAGAGAAAUUAUGCACAGCCAGAAAAACUCAAUUCCAGCACUGUUUGGGAGGGAAGUCAGCUGAGGAAAGUCAGCUUGUCUUGGGUCCACUUUGACAAUAAGAAUAAGCAGUCACAGGAAGGUGCUGCUCUUCUAAACUUCAGGGUUAGUCCAACUUUCCCAGCUCUGUUCUUUGCUCAAAUUACAGCCCUACUGAAACCAAAGCACACUUGUGUCAAUGCUUCCAUCUGUACCUCUUCAGAGUAAUUUAUUUCUUUCUUCCUUUCCCUUUAUUUUUCCACAGACUCAAGUUCCAAGACACACACUUUUGUUUCUGGCUUUCCUCAACUCCCUUUCCUUUUUAGUAUUUUUCCCCUUAAAAGAAUGCAUUCAGAUUUAAAAAUGGGCUUUCUAGGAUCAGUUUUAGAGAGCCCAGCCUCUCUGCUGAGGGCUGGAUGCUGCCAGCUUUAGAGGAUGUUUCUCCUACUCAUUUUGCCCACAGAUGCUUACAUGUGACUCUAUGACAAAAUCACCCUCACCCAGAGGAAUCCAGGGGAGAAUCCCUAUUUUAUCACCUCCAUCGUCAACAUGACCAACCCAACACAUUAUGGGUGAGCUGUAGGGUGGAACUGGCCAGCACCAGAUGCUUCCUCCAUCAGCCCAGAGCUGCUGCAGUCACAGGGCUCCUGCACAGGCAGCAGCAGCACACGUACAACAUUCCUGUUCUGCCUUCCCCAAACCAUCCCUUCUCUACCUUCCCCAAACCAUCCCUUCUCUACCUUCCCCAAACCAUCCCUUCUCUGCCUUCCCCAAACCAAAGGGAUGACAACUUUCUCCUAGAUACACUUCCCCUUAAGAGAACAGUUUUAUGCGAAGCUGAGAGUGCUCAGAACUACAAAGCUCACCUGAGCAUCCAGGUAUUUGCUAAUUCCCUCAAUGCAGAUGGGGCCCCCAGGCUGGGGGCUCUGAAGUUCACUUCAUCUUCUGUUCUCACAAAGAUCCUUAGGGCUUGCCUAGGGUGAGGGAGUCACAGAACCAUAAAAUCAUUAAGGCUGGAAAAGCCCUCCAGGUCAUCAGAUCCAAGCUGUGCCUGAUCCCCACUGUGUCCCCAGCCCAGAGCACUGAGUGCCACAUCCAGGCCUUCCUGGGACACCUCCAGGGAUGGGGACUCCAAACUUCCCUGGGCAGCCCCUUCCAUGAAAAAUUUCCUCCCAGUGUCCAACCUGACUGUCACCUGGCACAGUUUGAGGCCCUUUCCGCUCACCCUAUCCCCUUUUCCCUGUGAGAUCCCGACCACCAUUUGGCUGCACUCUCCUGUCAGGGAGUUGUGGAGCACGAGUUCUCCAUGAACUCCAUACCGAUGAAUUCUCAUUAUUUGGUUCAAGUGUUUAAAAAACUCAUUGAGCACUUUAAAAU